CUCACUCAUUAGAAAAGGAAGGAAGAGGCUUCUCUUCUACUAUUUGAGAGUAAAGUAAACUGAGAUAGGCAAAAGAAGAAGAAGAAGCCCCUAAAAUGUGGUAGUGAGUCUUUUGGAUUUGUGAUGG
ensembl:ncRNA C30C11.8 ncRNA